CACGAAACUGUAUGAGCUAACUAAAAUUGAAACUAUGUUGCAUAAUAGAUAAAAAGUUAUAGUUAGGGGUGAAAGGCCUUUCAAACGCAGAGAUAUCUUGAUUUUCCCCAAAAGUAUUGAGUACGUUGGGAAGUUUAGAGCGACAAGGUUUUAAACAAUCAUUAAGCAUAAUUAAUUAAGAAUGUUGAUAUAAAAAUCUACAAGAAUGUAAAUAAAUAUUAAUAAUUAAGAAUUAUGGUACAUAGGGAAAUAUUUAUUAAUUUAACCUAAGGUUAACAAUGUUAAUAUUAGUAAUUUGAAGGUGCCAAUAGUGAACUCGGCAUCAAGCUUUCAACUGUUUAUCAAAAACAUAGCUACGUGUAGUACACGUAGUAAUUUCUGCUCAAUGAGAUAUUUAAAUAGCCGCAGUACCCUGACUGUGCAAAGGUAGCGUAAUCAAUUGUCUUUUAAUUAAAGACGGGUAUGAAUGAAUAUAUGGGGGCUUUCUUUACCAUUGGUAUUAAUAGAAUUUACUUAACGAGUGGAAAAUACACGUAGAUAAAUAAUAGACGAGAAGACCCUUGAAAUUUUUAAUAGUUUUUUGUUGGGGCAACAUAAUAGCAGAUAACCUACUGAGAUUAACUAGAAAUUUUGUAGUGUGAUUAAAUUACUCUAGGGAUAACAGCGUAAUUUCGAAUUGUUUGUGACCUCGAUGUUGGAUUAGGGAAUUGUCGCUUAGAA
rnacentral:rRNA from 1 species